AUGCACAAACCUAAAAUGACACUUAAAAUGAAACAUAGUGAGUAUAUUGCUAUAAAUCAAAAUAAAUUUUUAUUAUGACAUUAUAAGGAUAUGCCGAAAAAUAAAAAAAAAUUGAAUAAAAUAUCAACCCUCUCUUGCAAAAUAACAAUUAUGGCGUUCAAUAUCUCUCCCAACAUCGCGCAUGAUCCCGUUCUUUUCUUUGCAUUUUCAUAUAGCUUUAAAUUUGAAGUUUUCGGUAUAUUUUUCUCACUUUUAGGUUCAUGACCUAGCUUUGUGGAGGUAGAUGCAGGUCGUGAUCCCCAAAUUUUCCGUGAUCUCCCAAGUUUUCCUUUAUUGUCAUUAGUUGAUUCACGGGGACUGAUUGUUCUGAAGUUUUGUUGGAGAUUAGAUCCAUGAAUCUUACCUCUCUACUAUUUAAUUUCUUUGAGGACAUUGGCUUGAACAUGGGGAACUCGGGUUUUCUGAAGGAGGUGGUGGAGGUAAAUUGGUUGUUGAACGUGACUUCGGCCCAUCUACGUACCGGUUCUCCAUCGGCAAAUACUCUUCAAUCUGUAUGCUUUUGUUUAGUCUUCGUUUAAUUGUUUUUUCAUCGAUAUGUUAUGUCUUUUUAUUUUUCAUUUUCGAUGGAAUUUACCCUUCUAUUCUGUAAUUUUCUUGUCUAGCUCUUUGUGAAAAUUACCUCUUCGUCCAGUUCGGGAUAAAUGGAGUUCUCGAUGAACAACAGUUUUAGUUGAUGUGGCUGCUGCAGUAGAGGUUUAACUUUGGGCUCGUUUUGGGUUAUCAUUUACAUUUUGAACUGGUUUGUUCUAGUUUUAGCUCGUUUUUAUUUUCAACUGUCAUUGUAUGUUUAAAUAACCAAGAAAUAAUAUGAAAAGCUUAAAAAAAUAUGUAAUUGAAUAAAUUUGGAACACCGAAAAUUAUAAAGGAAACUUUGC
rnacentral:lncRNA from 1 species